AGGGAUGUAGCUCAGUGGUAGAGCAUUUGCCUAGCAUGUGAGAGGCCCUAGGUUCAACUCUUAGUACUACCA
rnacentral:tRNA from 1 species